UAAAGGUUUGGUCCCAGCCUUUCUAUUAGUCCUUAACAGACUUACACAUGCAAGCAUCCACAACCCAGUGAGAAUGCCCUUCAGAUCACAAAGAUUAAAAGGAGCAGGUAUCAAGCACGCCCUACCAGCAGCUCACAACACCUUGCUUAGCCACGCCCCUACGGGAAACAGCAGUGAUAAAAAUUAAGCCAUGAACGAAAGUUUGACUAAGUCAUGUUAAUCAGGGUUGGUAAACUUCGUGCCAGCCACCGCGGUCAUACGAUUGACCCGAAUUAAUAGAAAUACGGCGUAAAGAGUGUUAAAGAAUUAUGUAAAAUAAAGUUAAAUCUUAAUUAAGCUGUAGAAAGCCAUAAUUAAAACUAAACUAAACCACGAAAGUGACUUUAAUCUAAUCUGAUUACACGACAGCUAAGAUCCAAACUGGGAUUAGAUACCCCACUAUGCUUAGCCGUAAACCUAAACAGUCACAAAACAAGACUGUUCGCCAGAGUACUACUAGCCAUAGCCUAAAACUCAAGGGACUUGGCGGUGCUUCAUAUCCCUCUAGAGGAGCCUGUUCUAUAAUCGAUAAACCCCGAUCAACCUCACCAACCCUUGCUACUCCAGUCUAUAUACCGCCAUCUCCAGCGAACCCUAAAAAGGAACGAAAGUAAGCAUAAUUACCUUACAUAAAAACGUUAGGUCAAGGUGUAACCUAUGGGGUGGGAAGAAAUGGGCUACAUUUUCUACAUCAAGAACAUCCUUAUUAUCCGCACGAAAGUUUUUAUGAAACUUAAAGACUAAAGGAGGAUUUAGCAGUAAAUUAAGAGCAGAGUGCUUAAUUGAAUAAGGCCAUGAAGCACGCACACACCGCCCGUCACCCUCCUCAAGCAUUAUUACCAGGCCUAAGCUAGCUAACACAUGCCAAACAGCCCUGCAAGAGGAGACAAGUCGUAACAAGGUAAGCAUACUGGAAAGUGUGCUUGGAUAAAA
rnacentral:ncRNA from 1 species